rnacentral:rRNA from 1 species
AUGUGCCCGGCGAGGAUUUCUGUGCUGCGCCUCAGCAUUCUCCCUCUCUCCCUCUGCUUCCUUCCUCCCUGCUCAGCGUGCUCGCUCUCGCCCCCGCACCACUUCCCUUCGUGCAUCUCACCGGCGACCAUGGCCAAGGAGAAGACGGCGGCGCUGGAGCGUGCCAAGAAGGCGUCGGCAUCGGAGAAGGCGAAGGGGAGAUCCACCAGCCGCAGAGGGUCCUCAUCCAGAUCCCGCCUGCCGAAAGGCUGGGUCCAAGGAGACUGGAUCCAGUCGACCAUCACGGAGAAGGACCUCCUCGACAUGGCCAACGAGGGCUUGAUCCCUCACGGAGCUGCGAGGUUGCCGGGGAAGGAGUGGCAGCCACAGCCAGAAGAGGGUGAGUGUGUGCUUCUGGCCACUCAUGUUGAUCGUGGGUUUUCCUUGCCGCCAAGCAUUUUCUUCCGUGGCUUCUUGAAUUUCUUUGGAGCGCAGCUCCACCACUUUACCCCAAACUCCAUUGCCUAUCUUGCUGCAUUCGUGUCCAUGUGUGAGGGUUUCUUGGGCUGUCGACCGCACUGGGGUUUGUUCAAACGUAUCUUCACGUGUCGCUCUCAGACCGUGAAGAAGGCGAGCCCAGGUGAUGAGAAGACCCGCGUCGUCCAAAUGUGUGGGGGCCUGGGGAUUCAGGUGAGGAAUAAUAGCACCUUCCCGCCCAUGUCCUUUCCCGAGUCCGUCAGAGGCUGGCAGUCGACUUGGUUCUACUGUCAGGUCCAGUCGACGCCAGGGCAGUCGAGUGGACUCCCUCCGUUUACCAUGGACCGAGUGAACAAGCCCUCCCCUCUGAAGCUGAUUCCGGAGGAGAAAGCCGACGUGAAGAUGUUGAUGGAGCGCGUGGUGCAGUUGGUUCGGGAGGGGGUGACGGGCAUGGAUCUUCUGGAGGUCUUCCUCAGGCGUCGCAUCCAACCCCUUCAAUUCCGGAGCCACUGCAUGUGGUGGUACUGUGGGCCCGAAGACGAGACUAGAGUCCAUCCAGAAGAAGUCGACGACGCCACUCUGGAAAGAUGGAUGGUAGCCGUUACCGGAAACAGGGACAACCCGCGCGGAGCCAGAAUGAUUCCUCCACUCGACCACAACAGCGACCCAAACAAGGCCUUCACCGAGCUGUACUCGAUGCCCAAUGGGGCACAAGCUUCGACUGAGGAAGGCGAGGCGAGCGGGGGCGAGGCGAGCGGGGGCGAGAGCCAGGAAGAGGAGGAAUGGGACUCGGAUGCUGCAGGGGAUGAUGACGACGAUGAUGAUGAUGAAGGUGAUGAAGAUGACAUCGAGGACGAGGAAGAAGAGGAGGAGGAGGUCGUUCCACCGCGCUCAGAAAGGCGGUCGAAGCUUGUCCACGACCCUUCGACCGAACGUGGUAAGGGGGUUGCGACCGCCACUCAGUCGACCAAGCGCCCUCGGACCACCUCUCCAGCGCCGACUGAAAAGGCGCCGAAGCAGCCCAGGGCGGCCUCAUCGAAGCCGACCAAGCUCCUGCCGAAGAUGAAGGUGUCCAUCCCCACCAUAUCAGGUGCUGCUACUUCUGAGACCUCGGCCCGGGCCGAUGACCACGAGAUGGAGGAUGCAGCAACUUCGAAUCCAGCUCCACCCAACACUGUUAUCGAUCUUCCUGAUGAUGAUGAGGAUGAAGAGCCGCUGAAGCACAGGAGGAGUCGGAAAGCGUCCGCCAGUAAGGUGCCUCAGGAUGUGCCGGCGCCUGAAAUUCUGACUGUGGAGGAAGAGAACACCACUCGACACACGGUGACCUUCGCGAAUCCACUGACGAGUGCUCAGCAGCCUUCCCUCUUCAUGACGCACCACGUCCCAGAGGACCAAGCUGGCGCAGCGAAGGAGGCGAUACGCCAGGCGGGACUCAUGAUGGAGCAGCUGAAGACCAUCCGGGACGCAAGCCAGGCAGCUUAUGACGCCAGUUCUGCCCUCCAAAGCAAUGUCCAGAACUCUUGUGAUCUUGUGGCUCGCUACUCAGAGCUGGAACAAAAACAUACUCAAGUCGAGCUGAGCUUGAAGCUGGUUCAGGAGAAGCUGACAAAGGCAAAGGAGGAGACCGAAGGUAUGUUUGGUAAGGUAAGGGAGGCCCAGCAGAAGAAAGACCUUGAGCUAGCUGAGAAGAUCAAGCUUGCUGACGAGAAGUUAGCUUCAGUCACCAAGCUCGAACAAGACAAUACCAAUCUGAAAACUGCUCUUGGGAUUGCCAACAAGGAAGUCAGUCGACUGAGAACUGACAAAGCUGCCUUGACCGACCAAGUCAGCAAAUUGACUGAGAAGAAAAUUGAACUGGAGGCCUUCCUGAGUGGCCUUGCCAAGAAGCUGUUUCUGAUGCUUGAAGAAUUUUGUCAAAACUUUGAAGAGGAAACCAGCCGACUGGAGCCAAACCUUGACCCCGUCAAUUCUCCGGUGAACGACGAAGUUGCCAUGGAUGUUUUCCGACUGGAGUCUCGUGUCGCAGCUGUCGUGGACUAUCUCGCAAGGCUGAAGGCCGCCACAUCUCGCAUCGACUCGACGCUCUGGCCUGAGGAGACACUUCAGAAUGACCUUGAGUCGCUGAUGGCCCGCUUGAACACGAUCCCUGGUUGA